UCACCCUACCACAGCCAGCAUAGUGGUCUUGCCUUUAUGCUUAUCUACUCAUGAUCACAAAGUAGCAUCGCAUCCUUGUCCAAAGGAGCCUAAAGGGGUCCCAAAUCUUUCAAAGACAUCCACAGGCAGGAAGAAAGAAAAAGACAGUUCUUAUCAGAUGUCUUUUGCUCUCUCUUUUUUUAAAUCACAGAUUGAAAUAUUUUCUAGAAGCUCCUGACUUGCCCUCAGAUGUCACUGGACAGAAAAGGAUCUUAUAUAUACAUCUGAGUCCACACUGACAUUAUUUCCAUUGUGACUUGAUCAGAGAAGCUGUGAAGUUAAGCAGUCAUCUAGGAACAAAAGGAUCCAAAGUUUGCUACACACUUAAGAACAGGGCACAAAAGAAUUAAGGCCCUGGGAGCAGUUCUUUAGAAAAAGUAACUUCCCAGUGAUUUAUCAGCUCUUGAAGCACAACCUUCUUUUCUUUGUUAAAAUGGUGAUUCUCAUUGGCUGAACUCAACAGCAAACCAAGGGGCAUGCAAGUUUAUUGCUACAAUCAAUAAAGUUCAGGUGAAGGGCACAGAGAAUGACUGGCUGCCCAGCUUGAGGGAGUGCAGUCAUCAGAUAGCCUCAAGGUGUCAGCUCCAUUAGGGUUUGUCUCAGCUGCCAAGAGACGUCUUGCUGGAGUUACUGCUAUCAUUAUUGGAAAUUACUCAAUGAGUUCUUCCAGAAACAAAAGGGGAGUGUAGAAGACUUAAAUUCAGAUAACAAAGUAUCCACAUGCUGCUCAUCCUGAGUGAACCUUCUGCCAUAAGGUGAAGAAACCCUGCUUGAUGACCCUACUGAGGCUGACUCUGGCUGACCUGCAUUCAAGCUGAGACACCAGAGUUCUCAUUCACCAAGGCAGACCCAAGUUCUGCAUCUUUCCACAUGGCUUGAACAUGCACUGCAAUCAGCAUGUUAAUUUGGGAUGGCUGAGAGCGCAUCUCCCUAUCUACUUGUUUCUCUUAACAUGGACAUUUUUAAUCAGGCGCCUAAUUUGGUCCUGGGGGAUCUCACUCUGCUUUAAUAAUACAUGUGACAAAAUUUACCUCUUUGCUUUCAAAGUUGUUAAUUAUGGAGUGCAUUUCAAAUGAGCUAUUGCAGCCAAGAGAUCAUCUCUUUUGGAUGCUUACAUACUUUAAUGCUGGGAAGAAGCAAUAAACAUGGAAGGGUUAUGAAACACCUCUCCAUAUGGACAGUGAUGCUUUUCAGGGGACCAGACAGGGUAGUUGUGAAUACUUUUUGGUGAUGGGCUUAUAUUAUGUUGUAUUUCAGGUUAUGCCACAGUCUACAUAACCCAGAGGGCUCAACCUGCUUUCAAAGCAGAGGGAAGAAGAGCAGACAAAGGCAAGGAGGACUUCAGAGAGAUAAGUGGGCUAGGUCAUUGAUCCGUUUAAGGAAGUAGACUCAACUGCUUCAGAGAACACAGGUUUUUUUUUUUUCUUUCUUUUUUUGCCUUCUACUGUGAGGAUAGCCAAUUGCAGAUUGCACCAGAAUUCCAGUGAUCUUUGGUGUGUGCUCUCAGACUCACAUAUGUUAUGAAUUCUUAUGGUCCUAAAACCAUUACUUCUUAAUAAAUUAGAGAAUUAGAGUGGGUUUCUGUGAAAUUUGUUUUGGGUUCU